rnacentral:lncRNA from 1 species
GGGCACCGACGUGAACUACCCUGACAGGAAAUCAAACGUCAAUCUUUUCAGAUUCUUUGACGUAGAAUAGAUGUCGAAUCCCUGAAACACCGACGUCUAUAGACGUCAGUUUCUGGAGCAACCGACGCCCCCAUUUCAUUUUAAAUAGACCGCAGACUCUUAUCGCCAUUCAGUUUCUGAUCGUGUCUUCAUCUCUUCUCCUUUUUCUC